AUUUAAAGUAUUUUUAUUGUUUUUUUGGUUUUCAUUUUCAAAGCAAUCAAAUUAGGGUUGUAUAGCUCAACUGUUUAUUAUCCGGCGAAGCGAAUUCAUCACUUUCCGGCGAGGUACUGUUUUGAUUCAGAGAGUUUUUGUGGUGAGAUCUCAAUUUAUGUACACUUUUUUUUUUUUUUGGUUUAGUUUUAUUGCUUUGUGAAUUUGAGGAGGAGUGUUUUCACCUUAUGAACUGAUUUUGUUUUGCUGUAAAAUGAAGGAAAACAAGUAAUUUUGGAAGUUGAUUUUGAUUGUUUGUAAAUGAGUUCCUUCUUUGUUGUUGUUUUGUUGCUGUAUGAAUAUAAGGAGGAGUGCUUUCAGCUAAUGAAUUUUUUAAUUUUAUUUUUUGCUGUAAAAAAAAAAAGAGUAACUUUGGAAAAUGGAUGUUUACUUAAGGUGAGAAGAGUUUUAAGCUUAUGAACUGAUUUUGUUUGUUGAAAAAUGAAAGAGAAGAAAUAAAUUUGGAAAUUGAAUUUUAGUUAAGGAGAAGAUUUUCAGCUUAUGAAACGGAUUUUUAGUGAAGGAGAGGAAUUUAUUUGUCAAAUACAUUGAUAGCCUUAAAAAGAGCAGAACUUUCGUAUCUCUAACGGUGGAAAUAAUCUUACCUUAAUCCAAACUAUGAUGAUUUCAAUUUAAAGAAACAAAUUCUGUGUUCUAUUUUUGAUUUACUCAUUUUAAGGAAGCAUCCUCUCUAGUUGUUUACAGCUAAAAUUCUGUAACUGAUGCUAUAGCUUAAAGAUGUAGCUUUGGAUGAAGUUUGCAUUAGCGAUGAUCAUAUAGUGCCACAUCCUAGUUGUGAACAUGCCAAUGAAGUUUCUCUCCCAGACUGAUAGCCGUAAGAAACCCCGGUGUGAAAUAAUUGGUUUAUUAAGAACCAUAGGAGCAAUCUUCUCUUAAAUAUAAUAAUCAGCAAAAGGGCAAAGAAGUUCCUCCUUUAUAUAGUACAAUGAUGGAGAAGGACUCGAGGGCUGGUAGGCUUGAUUGCGUGUUCCCUUCUAAACAUGAUAAGGACUCUGUUGAAGAAGUUUCAAGUUUAUCAUCUGAAAAUACUAGGACAUCAAAUGAUUGCUCCAGAAGUAACAAUAUAGACUCCAUUAGCGGUGAGGUCCAGCCCAAUAACCCCAUUCUGGAUGACAAGAAUUCUGCAGUUAGGGACAACUUGCAUAGCUAUCCUCUUGGUCCCGUUUCUCAGGCAGAUGAUGAUCUUGGUUUUCUUGAUAGUAAUCAUGAGGAUAAAAGUAGUACCGAGCUCUUAUAUUAUAACUGGCCUGAGAUGGAAAACUUUGAGGAUGUUGACAGGAUGUUCGGAAGUUGUGAUUCAACAUUUGGAGUUGGAGCUAGUAUCGAAGAUGACCUUGGUUGGUUUUCGUCAUCUGGUGUUAUUGAAGGAUCUGGAGGUGGAUUGAGGUCAGAUUUGGAGUUUGCCUUCUCAACAUCCAGUGCACUUGAAAAUAUCUCUGGAAUGCAGGAAGCUUCCAGGUCAAAGGAAACAGGCAAUUCAAUUAAUGAUUCUGGCACUAAAGAUCAACUCUUCAGUCAGACUGGCAGUUCAAUGCCAUCAGAGGAUGAAUCAGCCGUUCUGAGUCAUCUAUCUUUUACAAAUGGUUCAAGUGAUUCAGAUUUCAAGAUAGUGCCCAUAAAGAAGAUUAAUCUUCACAAAAUUAACUCUAAGCUCCAGAAUCAAUCUGAGGGAAAAAGAAAACAUGUUUACGUGGAAAAUGGGGAGACAUUCAACUAUAUUGAUAGCCUUCCAGAAGAGAGAAACCAUCCUACUGCAAUCACUGGAUCUCAGGCUCUCACAUCCACAGGUAUUCAGCAGCACAAGCAAGUUGAUGGAUCUGAUUUUGGGUAUUUUCAGGAUGGCUUUUCUUACUUAUCUUCAGAUUACAGUCAUUCAGAUCAGACUACGGUUUGUCCAACCCUAUCCACAAUUAAAUCUAAAAAAAGCUGUCUCGUGACUCUUUCUGCUAAGGACUCCUGUGCGACAAAUCAGAUGCAGUUGAUGGAAAGCUUACCUGAUCCUUCUUUUCAGGUGGCUGGUAUAGGAACAAAUGAAAAUAUGGUGGACAAGCUACUUCAACGUUCUGUAAUUAAGCAUGAAAACAACAGGGAUCUUGAAAGUGUCAGCACGGGAAUUCCAGCAGAAGUAGGUUCCUCUAUUGUAAAGGAGAGCUCUUGCACAAGUUCUGGGUUGAAUGAAAUUUCUGAGGAGGCAGAUAGUUUUCAUCAGCUUGAACAUGUCAUGGAACGGAUAGCAAUGCAGAGAGCUGAUUGCUUAUUUAGUACAACAGACAGCCUUAAUAUAAAAGCUGUUCCUCAUCAUCUUGCUGCUUGCUUAUUUUAAAUUAUUAAUCAGCGGAUGUGCAAAAGCCUUCCAAAGUCUGACUUAUCGUUGAGUGUCUUGAAACUAUCUUUGUGUUAAUCCUGUAAACUUGGGCUAGGAAGGGGCAGUUAGCAGAUUUGUUGGAUGUAAGAACAAAGCUACGGAUAAGGGAUAGCUUGUAUCGGUUGGCUCAGAGUGCUGAACAAAGGCUUAGACAUGCUAAUCUCAAUAAUGGAUCUGGUGAUGAUAGUCACACAAGCAGAGCAUUUGAUGAUGAUGGAGCAUACAGAUGCACAGGAUAUUUGGACACGGAGACAGACACUAACUCUAUAGAUCGAUCUAUUGCUCACUUACUCUUCCACAGGCCUUCAAACUCAUCAGUGAUGGCUGAUUCUUUGGCUUUGGAGUCACCUUCCACGAUUUUCGAGACAUUACUCAGCCCACCAAUGAUUGAUGAGAACUUGAUUUCUGCUGGAGAAAAUGCAGCCGAACCAGAUAAAGGCACGAAAUAUUAAACAGGCUUCUAUACAAAUGGGUUGUGUUUAUUUCAAUUUAUGUCGCAUGGACUCGCCUACAUGUAUGUGCAUGUAAGUAUCUGCUAUGGAUACUUAUAUACUCUUUUGUUGUUUAGUGUAAUUCGAAGAAUCUAAACAGUAUGAGAAUGAGGAUCUAUGUCAAAUAGCUUACAGUUACUCGUGUGUUUGUGUAUGAGAAUUAUCAAGAAUCUCAAAUGAGAAAUUAUUUCAUGUAAUAUAUAACACGCUCGUGUGUUUCAUGGUUUUGAUGUUUUAUCCUUGG